UAGGGAAUAUUGGACAAUGGGCGCAAGCCUGAUCCAGCCAUGCCGCGUGAGUGAUGACGGCCUUAGGGUUGUAAAGCUCUUUCAGUAGCGAUGAUAAUGACAGUAACUACAGAAGAAGCCCCGGCUAACUUCGUGCCAGCAGCCGCGGUAAUACGAAGGGGGCUAGCGUUGUUCGGAAUUACUGGGCGUAAAGCGCGCGUAGGCGGAUUGAUCAGUUAGGGGUGAAAUCCCGGAGCUCAACUCCGGAACUGCCUCUAAUACUGUCAAUCUAGAGUUCUAGAGAGGUGAGUGGAAUUCCGAGUGUAGAGGUGAAAUUCGUAGAUAUUCGGAGGAACACCAGUGGCGAAGGCGGCUCACUGGCUAGAUACUGACGCUGAGGUGCGAAAGUGUGGGGAGCAAACAGGAUUAGAUACCCCCGUAGUCC
rnacentral:rRNA from 1 species